AUACGGAGGGUGCAAGUGUUACUCGGAAUCACUGGGCGUAAAGCGCGCGCAGGCGGCUAUUUAAGUUGGAUGUGAAAGCCUACGGCUCAACCGUAGAACUGCAUCCAAAACUAUUUAGCUAGAGUGUGGGAGAGGAAGAUGGAAUUAGUUGUGUAGGGGUAAAAUCCGUAGAGAUAACUAGGAAUACCAAAAGCGAAGGCGAUCUUCUGGAACAGUACUGACGCUGAGGCGCGAAAGCGUGGGGAGCAAACAGGAUUAGAUACCCCGGUAGUCC
rnacentral:rRNA from 1 species